rnacentral:SRP_RNA from 1 species
GCUGGGCAUGGUGGCUCAUGCCUGUAAUCCCAGCAUUUUGGGAGGCUGAGGUGUGUGGAUCACCUGAGGUCAGGAGUUUGAGACCAGCCUGGCCAACAUGGUGAAAACCCAUCUCUA